rnacentral:rRNA from 1 species
UACGAAGGGGGCUAGCGUUGCUCGGAAUCACUGGGCGUAAAGGGUGCGUAGGCGGGUCUUUAAGUCAGGGGUGAAAUCCUGGAGCUCAACUCCAGAACUGCCUUUGAUACUGAAGAUCUUGAGUUCGGGAGAGGUGAGUGGAACUGCGAGUGUAGAGGUGAAAUUCGUAGAUAUUCGCAAGAACACCAGUGGCGAAGGCGCUCACUGGCCCGAUACUGACGCUGAGGCACGAAAGCGUGGGGAGCAACAGG